CACACAUCUAUAAUAAUAUAUAUAAACGCGAAAGGUCAUUCAUCACGAAAUCUCCGAAACUAUAACACCUACAAACUCGAAAUUUGGCAGGUAGGCUCCUUAUAGGACGUAGACAUCCGCUAAGAACGGAUUUUACGAAACUCAACCCCUAAGGGGGUAAAAUAGGGGUUGGAAGUUUGUAUGAAAGUCCCAUGUUUUUGAAGU
rnacentral:misc_RNA from 1 species